rnacentral:rRNA from 1 species
GACGAACGCUGGCGGCGUGCUUAAUACAUGCAAGUCGAACGGAAAGGCCCUGCGUUUGUGGGGUGCUCGAGUGGCGAGCGGGGGAGUAACACGUGAGUAACCUGCACUUGACUUUGGGAUAACUUCAGGAAACUGGGGCGAAUACAGGAUAGGAGCUCCUGCUGCAUGGGGUGGGUAGGAAAGAUUCGGCGGUGGGGGAUGGACUCGCGGCUUAUGAGCUGGUUGGUGGGGUAGGGGAUGACCAAGGCUAUGACGGGUAGGCGGCCUGAGAGGGGGACCGGCCACAUUGGUACUGCGAUACGGCCCAGACUCCUACGGUAGGCAGCAGUCGGGAAUAUUGCACAAUGGGCCCAAGCCUGAUGCAGCAACGCCCCGUGCGGGAUGCCCGCUUUCUGGUUGUAAACCGCUUUCGCCUGUGACGAAGCGUGAGUGACGGUACUGGGUAAAGAAGCACCGGCUAACUACGUG